CACCUAUUUAGUGAAUAUAUCCAAAUAUAUUUUCUGUAGCUUGACAUCUCUACCAAUUAUACCUGUGUAAUUUCUGUAUUCUCUUCCUGUGUUUUGCUACAUUUGCUCAGAUUUUGUGUCGAAUUAAAUCCCUAGAAUAAAGUAGCCCUUGAGUACACAAUUUCAUGUGACAUGCUAACUAAUGCUCGUUAUUUACUCAGUAAUAUGAGAACGGAUCACAUUCUCCCUUGUGUCAUUAUCAAGCACCUCCAGUGAGUCAGAGACGAG